AGCUUUCAUCUUUUUUUAUAUUCCAACGUAAUGAAACUUACAUAGAAACAAACAUAUAUAAGUUGGUAGUAUAAAUUUUACAAAAGAU